ensembl:lncRNA CATSPER2P1 CATSPER2 pseudogene 1
GGCGGGGCCGAGGCGGCGAGUGUCUGGGCGAGCGUGGCUGGGCCCGGUCCUGGGCUGGGGGCAGGGGCUAGGGCCGGGUCCCGGGACAUGGCCGCUUACCAACAAGAAGGGCAGAUGCAGCUUCCCCGAGCUGAUGCCAUUCGUUCACGUCUCAUCGAUACUUUCUCUCUCAUCGAGCAUUUGCAAGGCUUGAGCCAAGCUGUGCUGCGACACACUAUCAGGAGUUACUUGAUCCUUCCCGCCAGAAGAAACUUAUGUUGGGAGAUCAACACCAGCUAGUGGGCGUCUCUAUAAAGCCUCAACGUAUAGAACAGAUUUCACAUGCCCAGAGGCUGUUGAGCAGGCUUCAUGUGCGCUGCAGUCAGAGGCCACCUCUUUCUUUGUGGGCCGGAUGGGUCCUUGAGUAAUUGCUGGAAUCCACAAAUACCAAACUAUGGCCAUUGAAGCUGACCUUGGAGGGGGCAGCUUGGUUUAUCUUGCUUAUUUUCAUCCUGGAGAUCCUUCUUAAGUGGCUAUCCAACUUUUCUGUUUUCUGGAAGAGUGCCUGGAAUGUCUUUGACUUUGUUGUUACCAUGUUGUCCCUGCUUCCCGAGGUUGUGGUAUUGGUAGGGGUAACAGGCCAAUCGGUGUGGCUUCAGCUUCUGAGGAUCUGCCGGGUGCUGAGGUCUCUCAAACUCCUUGCACAAUUCCGUCAAAUUCGAGUUAUUAUUUUGGUCCUGGUCAGGGCCCUCAAGGGACCUCCCGAAUUCCCUGGUAACAGUGUUCAUUCUCUUCACCUUGGAUCAUUGGUAUGCACUGCUUCAGGACGUCUGGAAGGUGCCUGAAGUCAGUCGCAUCUUCAGCAGCAUCUAUUUCAUCCUUUGGUUGUUGCUUGGCUCCAUUAUCUUUCGAAGUAUCAUAGUAGCCAUGAUGGGUCAUUUGGACUGGGAAACUCUUGUGCACGAGAAUCUGCCCAGGCUAAUGGAAAUGGAUCAGGAUGACCGUGUUUGGCCCAGAGACUCACUCUUCCGAUAUUUUGAGUUGCUAGAAAAGCUUCAGUGUAACCUAGAGGAGCAUAAGAAGUUACAAGAGUUUGCAGUGCAGGCACUGAUGAACUUGGAAGACAAGUAAAGCAAUGGAUGGCUUCAAUAUCCUUGGGCCCAGCAAAAGAUAAUGAAGGGAAUUGUUGGAAAUAGAGAAUUGAAAAUAUAAACAUUCAGAUAGAACAAUAUCUGUUCAUUAAAAUUAAAAAGUAUAAGUGUCUAGGCCGGGCGCGGUGGCUCACGCCUGUAAUCCCAGCACUUUGGGACACCGAGGCGGAUAGAUCACCUGAGUUCGGGAGUUCAAGACCAGCCUGGCCAGCAUGGUGAAACCCUGUCUCUGCUAAAAAAUAC